CUUUCAAGUAAGAUACUUUUUUUUUUCAACCUAACUGAUGGUGGAGUACAAAAUUAUAAAUGCAAGGUCCAAGAAAAUAGAAAAAGAGAAAUAAAAUUUGGUGACUGUAAAAUAAUUAAAUGAAAACUCACAACAUAUUUGUAGAUUUAUUUUUCUAACACAAGUAACUCGUUCUCAUUUGUAGGGAAUCUUUGUACUUCUUCUAGGUCUGAUACUCAUCGAAAUCAUGAAGAUUACCAAAAUAUCGACAUUCAUGAUCAAUGCAUUUAAUAUUAACAGGAAACCAAAAUUUUGGACAAUCAGCGUCAUCUUUACAUUUAAUAAAAUCUAUAAUGAAAAAAGAUAACAAAAUAAUGUUACUAAUUAAACAUAAUAAAAGAUUGUGUAGAAAAUUUGAAAAGGAUAAAAAAAAUGACUUACCAUCAUCACCACUAACUUUCAUUGCGACAAUAAAUAAGAAAAGAAAUGCAGUCAUAGCAUAAAAAAUCUUGAGAAUUUCAGCCAUUUUUUCCUUUUCAAUUUGCAUGUAAAAAAUAGAAUACGAUCAAUUUGAUCUCUUUAUAGUGUAUAAAGUACUUGCUCUUCUAUAAAUAAUGAAAUAGUUUUUUU
rnacentral:lncRNA from 1 species